AAAAUUCUAUGUGAAAAAUUGUACUAAUAAAUAAAUUUUUUAUGGUUUAAAAAUUUUAUUUUAAAUUUAUUUUACAUAUAAAUUUUAGUGUUAAUUUUUAUUUAUUUAGAUAAUAAAUAAUUUUUUAUGUAGUAAUUAAUUUUAAAAAUUUAAGUAAUUAAGAUUUAGUAAUAUAUUAAUUAAUAACUAAUUUUGUGCCAGCAGUUGCGGUUAUACAAAAAUUGAUUUAAAAUUUUUUAGUAAUUAAAUAAUAAAUUUAAUUAAAUAAUUUAAAAUUUAAAUUAUUAGGUGAAAUUUUAAUUUAUAGAAAAAUUAUUUAGAAAUUAUGAUUUAAUAAAUUUAAUAAAAAACUAGGAUUAGAUACCCUAUUAUUAAAAUUUAAAUUAUUAUACUAAAAUAGUAGGUAAUUUUUUAUUGAAACUUAAAUAAUUUGGCGGUAUUUUAGUUUAUUUAGAGGAAUCUGUUUAAUAAUUGAUAAUCCACGAAUAAAUUUACUUAAUUUAAAAUUUUGUAUAUCGUUGUUAAAAAAAUAUUUUUUAAUAAAAAUAAUAUUUAAAAAUUUAAAUUUAAAAUUAAAUCAGAUCAAGAUGCAGAUUAUAAUUAAGAAUAUAAUGGAUUACAAUAAAUUUAUUUUAUUUGGAUAUUAAUAUGAAAUAAUUAAUUGAAAUUGGAUUUAAAUGUAAUUUUAUUUAAUUUAAUAAAAUGAUUUUUUAUUAAAAUAUGUACAUAUUGCCCGUCGCUUUCAUUUAUAAAUUGAAAUAAGUCGUAACAAAGUAGAGGUACUGGAAAGUGUUUCUAGAAAGAA
rnacentral:ncRNA from 1 species